rnacentral:rRNA from 1 species
GACGAACGCUGGCGGCGUGCUUAACACAUGCAAGUCGAGCGGUAAGGCCCUUUCGGGGGUACACGAGCGGCGAACGGGUGAGUAACACGUGGGUGACCUGCCCUCAGCUCUGGGGAUAAGCCUGGGAAACCGGGUCUAAUACUGGAUAUGACUCCAUGACGCAUGUUGUGGGGUGGAAAGCCUUGUGCGGCUGAGGAUGGGCCCGCGGCCUAUCAGCUUGUUGGUGGGGUGAUGGCCUACCAAGGCGACGACGGGUAGCCGGCCUGAGAGGGCGACCGGCCACACUGGGACUGAGACACGGCCCAGACUCCUACGGGAGGCAGCAGUGGGGAAUCUUGCGCAAUGGGCGAAAGCCUGACGCAGCGACGCCGCGUGAGGGAUGACGGCCU